GACAGAGGUGCCAAGCGUUAGGCGGAAUCACUGGGCUUAAAGCGUGUGUAGGCGGAUUGCUAAGUACCUUGUGAAAUCCCGCGGCUUAACCGUGGAACUGCUUGGUAUACUGGCUGUCUUGAGCCACUUAGGGGCAACCGGAACAAACGGUGGAGCGGUGAAAUGCGUAGAUAUCGUUUGGAACGCCAAUGGUGAAAACAGGUUGCUGGGAGUGUGCUGACGCUGAGACACGAAAGCCAGGGGAGCAAACGGG
rnacentral:rRNA from 1 species